CUGGUUGAUCCUGCCAGUAAUCAUAUGCUUGUCUCAAAGAUUAAGCCAUGCAUGUCUAAGUACAAACUCUAGCACAGUGAAACUGCGAAUGGCUCAUUAGAUCAGUUAUGGUUCCUUAGAUGAUACAAUCCUACUUGGAUAACUGUGGUAAUUCUAGAGCUAAUACAUGCACUAAAGCUCCGACCCUUUCUGAGGGGAAGAGCGCGUUUAUCAGUUCGAAGCCAGCCGAGCCGCAAGGCUUCCUCUUUGGUGACUCUGGAUAACUCUAGCGGAUCGCACGGCCUCGAGCCGGCGACGCAUCUAUCAAGUGUCUGCCCUAUCAGACUGUCGAUGGUAAGUGCUAUGCUUACCAUGGUGAUAACGGGUAACGGGGAAUCAGGGUUCGAUUACGGAGAGGGAGCCUGAGAAACGGCUACCACAUCCAAGGAAGGCAGCAGGCGCGCAAAUUACCCAAUCUCGAUACGAGGAGGUAGUGACGAAAAAUAACAAUACGGGACUCUUUCGAGGCCCCGUAAUUGGAAUGAGUGUACUCUAAACGUGUGCACGAGGAUCUAUUGGAGGGCAAGUCUGGUGCCAGCAGCCGCGGUAAUUCCAGCUCCAAUAGCGUAUAUUAAAGCUGUUGUGGUUAAAAAGCUCGUAGUUGGAUCUCAGGGUCGUUCGCGUCGGUCCCUUGCUGCAAUGGCUCGGGUACUGCGCGGUGUCGUCCCCCUUGCCAGACCUCUCAAAAAGGUUGCUCUUGACUGAGUGGCCUGCUCGAGUGGCUGGAGAGUUUACUUUGAAAAAAUUAGAGUGUUCAAAGCAGGCACAGCCCGCCUGUAUAAUGGUGCAUGGAAUAAUGGAAUAGGACCCCGGAUCCUAUUUUGCUGGUUUUUGGAGCUCAGGGGUAAUGAUUAAGUGGAACAGGGCGGGGGCAUCCGUAUUACGGCGUUAGAGGUGAAAUUCUUGGAUCGUCGUAAGACGCCCUACAGCGAAAGCAUUUGCCAAGUAUGUUUUCAUUAUCAAGAACGAAAGUCAGAGGUUCGAAGACGAUCAGAUACCGUCGUAGUUCUGACCGUAAACUAUGCCAACUGGCAGCCCGUCGGCGUUGCUCUAUUCGACUCGGCGGGAGGCCUACCCGAAAGGAAAGUCUACGGGUUCCAGGGGAAGUAUGGUUGCAAAGCUGAAACUUAAAGGAAUUGACGG
rnacentral:rRNA from 1 species